rnacentral:rRNA from 1 species
AACUCUGGUAUUGAUUGGUGCUUGCAUCAUGAUUUACAUUUGAGUGAGUGGCGAACUGGUGAGUAACACGUGGGAAACCUGCCCAGAAGCGGGGGAUAACACCUGGAAACAGAUGCUAAUACCGCAUAACAACUUGGACCGCAUGGUCCGAGCUUGAAAGAUGGCUUCGGCUAUCACUUUUGGAUGGUCCCGCGGCGUAUUAGCUAGAUGGUGGGGUAACGGCUCACCAUGGCAAUGAUACGUAGCCGACCUGAGAGGGUAAUCGGCCACAUUGGGACUGAGACACGGCCCAAACUCCUACGGGAGGCAGCAGUAGGGAAUCUUCCACAAUGGACGAAAGUCUGAUGGAGCAACGCCGCGUGAGUGAAGAAGGGUUUCGGCUCGUAAAACUCUGUUGUUAAAGAAGAACAUAUCUGAGAGUAACUGUUCAGGUAUUGACGGUAUUUAACCAGAAAGCCACGGCUAACUACGUGCCAGCAGCCGCGGUAAUACGUAGGUGGCAAGCGUUGUCCGGAUUUAUUGGGCGUAAAGCGAGCGCAGGCGGUUUUUUAAGUCUGAUGUGAAAGCCUUCGGCUCAACCGAAGAAGUGCAUCGGAAACUGGGAAACUUGAGUGCAGAAGAGGACAGUGGAACUCCAUGUGUAGCGGUGAAAUGCGUAGAUAUAUGGAAGAACACCAGUGGCGAAGGCGGCUGUCUGGUCUGUAACUGACGCUGAGGCUCGAAAGUAUGGGUAGCAAACAGGAUUAGAUACCCUGGUAGUCCAUACCGUAAACGAUGAAUGCUAAGUGUUGGAGGGUUUCCGCCCUUCAGUGCUGCAGCUAACGCAUUAAGCAUUCCGCCUGGGGAGUACGGCCGCAAGGCUGAAACUCAAAGGAAUUGACGGGGGCCCGCACAAGCGGUGGAGCAUGUGGUUUAAUUCGAAGCUACGCGAAGAACCUUACCAGGUCUUGACAUACUAUGCAAAUCUAAGAGAUUAGACGUUCCCUUCGGGGACAUGGAUACAGGUGGUGCAUGGUUGUCGUCAGCUCGUGUCGUGAGAUGUUGGGUUAAGUCCCGCAACGAGCGCAACCCUUAUUAUCAGUUGCCAGCAUUAAGUUGGGCACUCUGGUGAGACUGCCGGUGACAAACCGGAGGAAGGUGGGGAUGACGUCAAAUCAUCAUGCCCCUUAUGACCUGGGCUACACACGUGCUACAAUGGAUGGUACAACGAGUUGCGAACUCGCGAGAGUAAGCUAAUCUCUUAAAGCCAUUCUCAGUUCGGAUUGUAGGCUGCAACUCGCCUACAUGAAGUCGGAAUCGCUAGUAAUCGCGGAUCAGCAUGCCGCGGUGAAUACGUUCCCGGGCCUUGUACACACCGCCCGUCACACCAUGAGAGUU